rnacentral:rRNA from 1 species
AUGGAUCCCGACGCCGAGAUCGCCUUCGACUUCCCGCCCUACCUCUGCCAGUACAAGAGCGGCCGCGUGCACCGCCCGGGCGGCGACGCCUUCGCCCCCGCCGGCACCGACCCGCUCACCGGCGUCGUCUCCAAGGACAUCCACGCCGGCCCCGCCCGCGCGCGCGUCUACCUCCCUCCCGAUGCCGCCGCGGCCCCCGGCAAGCUCCCCGUCGUCGUCUACUUCCACGGCGGCGGCUUCGUGGUCGGCUCCCCCGCGCGCCCCUCCACCCACGCCUACCUCAACGACCUCGUCGCCCGCUCCGCCGCCGUCGGCGUCUCCGUCUACUACCGCCUCGCCCCCGAGCACCCGCUCCCCGCCGCCUACGACGACGGCUGGGCGGCCGUGCGCUGGGUCCUCACCGGCGCCGACCCGUGGCUGCUCGACCACGCCGACCUCUCCCGCGUCUUCCUCUCCGGCUGCAGCGCCGGCGCCAACAUCGCGCACAACAUGGCCGUCCGCGCCGCCGCGCCCGGCGCGGUGCCGGAGGGCGCCGCCGUGCGGGGCCUCAUGGCCGUGCACCCCUACUUCACGGGCAAGGAGCCCGUGGGCGCGGAGGCCGCGUUCGGCCCCGACGUGCGCGACUUCAUGGACCGCACCUGGCGCUUCGUGUUCCCGGGCUCCCUCGGCCUGGACGACCCCAACGUGAACCCGUUCGUCACCGACGAGGCGCGCGCCGCCGUGGCCGGGAUCCCGUGCGAGCGCGUGCUGGUGUGCGUCGCCGAGGACGACGUCCUGCUCAAGGAGCGCGGCCUGUGGUACGCCCGCGAGCUCAGGGCCAGCGGCUACGCCGGCGAGAUCGAGAUGUUCGAGUCCAAGGGCGUCGGCCACGCCUUCCAGUUCGACCAGCUGGGCUCCGGGGAGGGCGUCAGGCUGCAGGAGCGCCUGGUGGAAUUCAUCAAGAAAUGA